GACGAACCGUGCAAACGUUAUUCGGAAUCACUGGGCUUAAAGCGUGCGUAGGCGGCUGAGAAAGUUGGGUGUGAAAUCCCUCGGCUCAACCGAGGAAUUGCGCUCAAAACUACUUGGCUUGAGGGAGUUAGAGGUGAGCGGAACUAAUGGUGGAGCGGUGAAAUGCGUUGAUAUCAUUAGGAACAUCCGGUGGCGAAAGG
rnacentral:rRNA from 1 species